GACGAACGCUGGCGGCGUGCUUAACACAUGCAAGUCGAACGGAAAGGCCCUGCUUUUGUGGGGUGCUCGAGUGGCGAACGGGUGAGUAACACGUGAGUAACCUGCCUUUGACUUUGGGAUAACUUCAGGAAACUGGGGCUAAUAACGGAUAGGAGCUCCUGCUGCAUGGUGGGGGUUGGAAAGUUUCGGCGGUUGGGGAUGGACUCGCGGCUUAUCAGCUUGUUGGUGGGGUAGUGGCUUACCAAGGCUUUGACGGGUAGCCGGCCGGUGAGGGUGACCGGCCACAUUGGGACUGAGAUACGGCCCAGGCUCCUACGGGGGGCAGCAGUGGGGAAGAGUGCGCAAUGGGCGGAAGCGUGAUGCAGCAACGCCGCGUGCGGGAUGACGGCCUUCGGGUUGUAAACCGCUUUCGCCUGUGACGAAGCGUGAGUGGCGGUAAUGGGUAAAGAAGCACCGGCUAACUACGU
rnacentral:rRNA from 1 species